AACGAACGCUGGCGGCAGGCUUCAUACAUGCAAGUCGAGCGGAAAGGCCCCUUCGGGGGUACUCGAGCGGCGAACGGGUGAGUAACAGGUGGGUAAUCUGCCUUUCGGAGGGGGAUAACGGCUGGAAACGGCCGCUAAUACCCCGUACGGUUGUGAAGCUCUCGGGCUUUGCAAAGAAAGGGGCCUUUAAAGCCCCGCCGAAAGAUGAGCCCGCCCCCCAUUAGCUAGUUGGCGGGGUAAUGGCCCACCAAGGCUGUGAUGGGUAGCCGAGCUGAGAGGUUGAUCGGCCACACUGGAACUGAGACACGGUCCAGACACCUACGGGUGGCAGCAGUGAGGAAUAUUGCGCAAUGGGGGCAACCCUGACGCAGCAACGCCGCGUGAGUGAGGAAGGUUUUCGGACCGUAAAGCUCUGUCGAGCGGGAAGAAAUGUAAUCAUGGCUAAUAUCCAUGAUACUUGACGGUACCGCUAAAGGAAGCACCGGCUAACUCCGUGCCAGCAGCCGCGGUAAACUAGUCU
rnacentral:rRNA from 1 species